AUUAUACAGCGAAACUGCGAAUGGCUCAUUAAAUCAGUUAUCGUUUAUUUGAUAGUUCCCUGCUACUUGGAUACCCGUGGUAAUUCUAUGGCUAAUACAUGCAAAAAGCCGCGACUUCGGAAGCGGCGUGUUUAUUAGACUAAAGACCGACGCCCUUCGGGGCUUCCCGGUGAUUCAUGGUAACCUGUCGGAUCGCACGGCCCCCGCGCCGGCGACGGAUCAUUCAAAUUUCUGCCCUAUCAACUUUCGACUUUAGUGUAGUGGACUAAAGUGGUUGCAACGGGUAACGGAGGGUUAGGGCUCGACCCCGGAGAAGGCGCCUGAGAAACGGCGACUACAUCCAAGGAAGGCAGCAGGCGCGCAAAUUACCCAAUCCCGACACGGGGAGGUAGUGACGAUAAAUACCGAUGCAGGGCUCUUUCGGGUCUUGCAAUUGGAAUGAGUACAAUCUAAAUCCCUUAACGAGGAGCAACUAGAGGGUCAGUCUGGUGCCAGCAGCCGCGGUAAUUCCAGCUCUAGUAGCGUAUAUUAAAGUUGUUGUGGUUAAAAAGCUCGUAGUUGAACCUCGGCCCCGCCCUGCCGGUCCGCCUCACCGCGUGCACUGGACCGGGCGGGGCCUUCCCCGGGGGAACGGCAUGCCCUUCGCUGGGCGUGCCCGGGAACCCGGACCUUUACUGUGAAAAAAUUAGAGUGUUCAAGGCAGGCUCGCGCCCGGAUACAUUAGCAUGGAAUAAUAGAAUAGGACGCGCGGUUCUAUUUUGUUGGUUAUGGGACCGCCGUAAUGAUUAAUAGGGUCAGUCGGGGGCAUCAGUAUUCGGCUGUCAGAGGUGAAAUUCUUGGAUUUGCCGAAGACUCACUACUGCGAAAGCAUUUGCCAAGGAUGUUUUCAUUAAUCAGGAACGAAAGUUAGGGGAUCGAAGACGAUCAGAUACCGUCGUAGUCUUAACCAUAAACUAUGCCGACUAGGGAUCGGGCGGUGUUGCUUUCUGACCCGCCCGGCACCUUUCGAGAAAUCAAAGUCUGUGGG
rnacentral:rRNA from 1 species